GAUUGUGCUCUAAAAGCUGAUGGACUCUUGCAUUAUUUGAGGUACAUAGGUUCUUUUAACAUUUGUGCCUCUUAAUCUGAGAUUAUGAAGAAUAUGUACCACAAAGUAAUUGGCAUUCCUACUGAAGCCAUUGAUAUUUUUGUCACCAAGCUUCCUUGACUGGGGCCAUGCCAAACAACUCUGGGACUGAUAGAGAGACAAUCAGAAGCGACAGGGAGCUCCCUGGGCUGUGUGUGCCUUGCACAUAUCAAUGAUUGGAAUUUUCCAUGAGUCCAGGGCCUGUGAUUUUGGCUAUUCCCAGCUGUUUGUAGAAGACCUCGUCCACUUCCUUAUCAGCGGCCACAUCAUCCUUGUGAACCUGGGAGACACCGCUUUUGUGGUUUCCAGGUUUUGUCUCUAUUGUCUUCAUGGGAGAUGAUGGAAAGAAGUUUCAAAGCCCAGAUAAAGAAUUGUCACCUGGCUCUUCAGCAGGACUAGGGAGAAGUGCUAAAUCCCAGAGAUCUCCCAGCACCUGAAGAUGGAUGUGGAGGGGAGGAUUUGUUCUCUGGCUGUUCCCAGAAGAGCAGCACAGGGCUGAGUGUGAGUGGAUCACAGCUCCUGCCCACCCCACGGUGACAAUACCAUUCCUGUCAGCAUCUUUGCAGCUGCACAGGAGAACUGUCAGGAAUGUCAACUUUUCAGUGCAGCUGCAAGGAAAGGCUUUUGUUUUGUAAACACAAUAAUCAGGUGUGUUUGCAAUUUGCCCUUAACAGAAAAUUCUGAGCAUUGCUGCCCACUCCAGUCUAAUUCAGACUAAAUACAUUUCUUGGGUGAAAUUUCCAAAGAAAUGAGAUUGCUACUUGUCUAACAGUCUGCCAGACAGAACCAGGCAAAUUUAAAAACAAGUAAAAACCAACCAAUGAAACAAAAAAAAAACUACAAACAAACAAAGGAAAAAUUAAAAGGAGUAAUUUUCUUCUUUUGUAGAGAAAUCUAAGGGAACAACAUCACUCUCAUUCUACUGCAUGAAAAGGAUCAUUGCAAGGGAUCCAAAUGUCAGUGGAAGACAGGGUUCUGCAACAACUUCAGCACUCUUAAUCCUCAGGACUAUGACAUCUAGGGUGCCAGAGGCAGGGGAGAUGAUUGUACAGAGAAUGUGCUUUGCAGAGAUUUUGGCAGCGAGACGUGGAAAGAAGCAAGGAAGAGGCAAGACAGAACGUCCCUGUCCUCCAGCCAUUACAGAAAGGAGAGCGUCAAAUUGAUUAGACAUGAAGUACAAGUGGCAUCUCUGUUUUACAUUUUCUUAGUGCCAGGUCCAGAAAUAUCACCCAGGUGGAUUCACAGUUUGCUUACCCUCUCCAGAGACUGCUUUCAAAGAUGUCAGCCAUGGUGGACAUUUUCCUUUGUAAUGCUCUGUGUUAGUAGCUAUCAAAGUGAGAAAAUUAACUGAAGUCCAUUAAUUUUGCCAGUCUGUUUAUGGCUGUAAAUUUUCAUCUUCUAGAAAGCAAAUGCCUUGCUACUUUAUCAAACUGUUAUGUCUCCAGACAGCUUCAAUGCAUAUGCAACAUAUAUCCAAUAAAUGAGCCGGAUAACAUGCACAAGAAGGAAGUAUAAUCUACUAAACCAGCUGACAAAACAGGUGUUGAAAAAUUUCAUGCCUCAGAUUAACUGGUCUAUGUUUAUUAAUUAAUAUGAAAUAUGAUUAGCAAUAACAUAGAAUGUAGAAUAUUUUUCUGUUUUGCUUCUUAAUUAGUACAAUAAAAUGUUAGCUAUGAAA
ensembl:lncRNA